AAACAGAAACAGACUCACAGAUAGAACAAGCUAGUGGUUAUCAGUGGAGGAAGGGAGCAGGGGAGGGGCAAGAUAGGGGUAUGAGAUUAAGAGAGAGAAACUACUAUGUAUAAAAUGGAUAAGCAACAGGAUAUAUGGUACAGCAUUGGGAAUUAUCACCAUUAUUUUGUAAUAACGAACUAAAUAAAUCAUGAUACAUUCACAGUGGAACACCACGCUGCUAGAAAGGAUGAAGAGACUCUCUCUACAUGACAGGCAGAAAAACCCAAGACAUACUGAAAGGAAAAGGACGCUAAUCCGUAUGUACCUGUCCUGUCCCACUAAUGGCCAGAGGACACACUUUCAAGGCUAAGCUAACUGAACUCAUGGUUGCUGGCACCGUUGGCCCCAUGCUCUACCCAACUGCAGAAUAAAACAUGUUUACACCAAAUUUCUUUAAAUGACAAGACUAUUUUCUAAUUGAGUAAGAAAUCAUUGUAAUCCCGCAUGUACACUGACCUGUCCUUUUCUACAUCUAUCAAGUAUCUGUGAAACAAUUAAAACAAAAAAUCCUCUAGAAACAAAAACAAACGACACUUACCAGUAGCACAGAUGGCUUUGUAAAGCGAAUAAAUACUCAUUAAAACUUUC